rnacentral:lncRNA from 1 species
UUUUUUUUUUUUUUUUUUUUUUUUGUGGAAAGGGGGGUGGGGGGCAGAUUUAGAAAGUCAUCUAAAAACACAAUCAAGGGCAGGGAGGGAACACUGUUUGAUUACUCUAAAGUAGGCCCUUAGGAGGCAGCAUCAUUGGUUGACUUAAUGAACAUGCCAUCCAGGGGCUAUGAAUGGAUUGCUUGUAAAUAACCAGACCUGACAUAAUCAUGAUUUAAAUUGCUAAUCCUGUUCCUGUUUUGGAAUGACAUAUCAGUCACAAAUUUCGGCUGCAUUGUGCAGAGUUGGAAUUGCGAAGAAGAAAGUAUCUCAAAUCAAAUGUCCCUCGUGAUCAUUUUCAAUGUAGAGAGAUAGGUAAGGAUUUUUUUUUUUUAUUUUAAUUUUUUUGGGUUGAUUAGGUAACUAAACAUACAGUAGAGGAAACCCUUGUUCAGUAACCUGGAAAAUUGCAUCCACUAGGCAAAAUCAAAGCCUUAAAGGACACCAAAAUGAACUAUCUAUGAUAGUUGGACUGCUGGACAAUGGCUGCAAAGCUCCCUCACUCCCUCUUCUUCAAUUGGCUCAAAGCUCCUCCAUGCAUGAUCUGCUGUUGCUGUUGUUGCAGAUGUGUCAACUGAAUGGACCAUUGAAAUUGUUCUUGAUGAUUCCCCUGGCACCUUAUAACCAGCCAAGAAAUACAGAUGACUUCCAGUUGGUGCCAUAGUUAGGUACAGCCCUUGAAUGGGUUGGAAGUCUUCUUCACCACCAUAUUUCAGAUAUGUGGAAACUGGAGAUGGAAAUCUUUUUAGUUGUGACCCUUCAACCACGUUCCAUGUAGUGAGUUUUCCGUCGUCGAACUCAAUAUGACCUUUCCAUGCACUCAGGCAAUCCCCAGAGCCAAACAGAUGGCCAGAAACAAGGUCCCACUUGCCACUCUGUACAUUGUACACCUCAGCCGAGCACCCAUCUAUGUAAUACGAUUGGACGAAUCCACCGACCACGUGGACUUUCCCUCGCCACGUCACACCUACAGAUUUGCACCUUAAUCUGUUCGUGUUAGGCAGGGGAGCCCAUUUAUCUGUCAGGGGAUCAUACACUUCAGCGGCAGCAGUGCCCCUGGCACCAGCCAGCGCGGAGUGCCCUCCAGCAACAUAGAUCUUGUUGUCACAGACAGUGCCCGCAAAAUCAUAUCUAGGUACGCUAAGGGGUGCACAAUUAGGCCAUUCCUCAGUGUGGAUAUUGUAGCAGAAUACACUUGAAAGUACUUCCACAUCUGUUUGUAGCCAAGUGAGGACUAGAUAACAAGAAGGUAAAAGUAAAUCUGUUUGUAUUUCUUGAGAUUUAGUACCUUGGGAUCAAAUUCAAGGGCACUGCUCGUAAAUCAGGAUCAUGCAAGCAUCAUAACAUUUGCCACGGUUAGAAUGGAGUUGAGUUGGUUACAAAAUCCAAAUACUCGAAUUCGAUACAACCAAGAAGUCUAGUUUAUUAUCGUUUAAUUCAUCCUGGUCAAUUCUGAGAGUAAAGGCGUUUCUUUCCCUCUUCCUUUUCCUUCUUUUUAGUUAAUGCCAUCAUGGGAUGAAAGAUUGUACACAUUUGGGCAUGGCUUAGAGUGUGUUGCACAAAACAAAUCAAGUGAAAUCCAAAUGAAGAUGAUUGCUACUAGGAAAGCUAUAUAUACAUAUAUAUAUAGGCGGACACAUAAAUGUUUUAUACUAAAAAAAACUAGUGGUUUGCCGACACAUUAAGUCUAACUAAAGUGCAAACUACAUCUAAAAUACUGUUAGUGAUCAGUACAAAAAUCAUGCUCAGGAACAUACGGCCUUUUUUUAAUUUGGAAGAAGGAACACACGACCUCAAAUCAUAGACAAGUCUAAUCAUUCCAUGGUGUUCUAUUCCUCUCUUUCUAUCGCCACUCCAUUAUCUCUCAUUUUAUUUAUGCAAUCAAUCACGUUUAAUUAGAACUUAAAUAAAAGGGAAAAUAUAAAAAACCUCCCCCAAAGCUUCUCUUAAAAUCACAUAGCACUCCUAAAGUUUUAAAAUUAUCACUUAAUCUCCUUUACUUUUUUUUUUUAUUUGUGUUAAAAACCCUAAACUACCAUUUUGCUCGCUAAAUAAAAAUGCUCGUAAGUUACUUUGUCUGUUUCAAGAAAACCAUCACCUAAAAAAUAAUCUCUAAUAGUACUACCAGGGCACAAUGCUAUAGUCCAUAAAAGUACAAAUAUGAAAAACAAAAAAGAUAUUUGUAAAGAAAUACACUAGUACCAAUUUUAUUCUAUAUGCUCAAAAUUGAUUUCUUAUGAUCCUUAUAUUUUUUUUCCAACUUCUUCGCAAUCCGUGUCCAAUCCUUUAAAUUGUACUGAUCAUUAUAAAAAUCAAUUCAAAAUAAACAAAAAAAAUCUUACCCCACUCUAUCACAAUCACAAAGGUGAAAGAUAAACAAAAUUCAAUUUACUAUAAUUUACAAAUAAAAAUCGCAUAAUCAUCAAAAAAAAUGUGUAAGAGAGAAUGUUGGAGAAAGAAGAAAGAGAAUGAAGUGACUUAUGUUUCUUUUUUUUAAAUUUUUUUUGAGUUACGUUUAUUUGAUAUGUGAAUUAUGUAUCAAGUGAGAGUUAAUAUAAUCUUUUUGUAAUUAAUAGGGGAGGUAAGUCAAGUGAUAUCUUCAAAAUUUUAAGUGUGCUAAGUGAUAUUAGAAGAAACCUUAAGGGAGGUUUCUGAUAUUAUCCAUAAAUAAAUUGUGGGGGGCUGGAAUAGGUUCAUUACUUAAAAGUUGGCUAUAGAUGCACUUUCGCAUGAACCACUCUGAAAAAGUACCUAAAAAGAAGAUGGAUCCAAUCCAUACAAAGAUACACCAAAUCUCACUAUUACUUCUACUAAUACUACUAUUAGGGUCUAAAUGAGCAAAAGAAUAAUUCAAUUCGGCGAUAGACAUCAUCGAGGUUUGCUGAUCAAGAAUCAACUAACUUUUUUAGUCGAGCUAGAACAUAAUAAUGUCUCAAUAUCUCUUGUUCAAAGAUCUUCUUUAUCUACUUUUGGGGCGAAAAGAAAUCCUAAACCAAAUAUUAUAUUGAAGUUGCAGUUCUAGAUCAAUAUGGAUAUUGCUGUUGCUUAAGGGUUGAGAAAGCAAGACAUGCAACCGGGGAACCAAUCAAUCUUGUAUUGGUGCAGCUUUGUAGAAGUAAGGUAACUAUCUGCUGGCUGCUCCUUUUAUUAUUAUUUUUUUGAGUCACAUCUGCAUGCCACUUAACUUUAAUUAUAGUUCCACAUCAUUAGAAAAGCGAAAAAAUUAUUUAACAGAAUAAAAAAGAGCAAGAAAAACAUGUCUAGGGAGUAGUUCCUAUGUACAAGCUUCAUGUAUGUUAACCCCAAGAUUGCCCUGAUCGAGUUAUGACAUAGCAUUGGCUAAGGUGGAUAAUUUUAGGUUCAAAUAUUUGGGUGUUUGAGCUAUCGAAUUGUGCUUUUGUUCAAAUUCUGCCAUCAUUUUCCAUUCGGGGGUUUUUUUUUUUUUUUCCCCUAAAGGUAGAGAAGAAGAAGUGCUUCUUAAUUGCUUUAUUAAACUAAUAUCAAAUUGGACCAUGCACGUGAUUGCAUUAGCCUAAAAACCAGUUUUCAUUAGGAAAAAUUAAACCUUGCUUGGAAUGGUAAUUUUGACCCCCCCCCCCAAAAAAAAAAAAGGAAUUUCUAGACACAUUUUUCAAUUUCUUUCUAUCUCAUAUACAUCACACUACUACAUUAAUAUUUUGAGCAAAUCUUAUAUACACUGACAGUAGUGUAUACGCUAUUACAGUUGAAUGCACAACACAUAUGCAAAUUCUGAGUUUUAAAUUUAAAUUCAAAUUAUAUAUCAUGUAUCUAAUAAUAAAAGUAUAUACAAUGCAAUGUGCGAAAGAUUAAUCAUAAUAUUUUUAUACAAGAAACUCUAAAAACUAGCAUUCCAAAGAUUAAGCUUCAGUUUUCCUUGUUGCGAUAUGGCCCAAGUGAUGUAAUAAAUGGGCUCAUUGCUUUUGGGCCUCAAUUCCAAUGGAUUACACUGGCUUACUUUUAGUCAAUGAAUCGGGCUCGAUACUGAGUCGGCCUCAAGAUACCCGGGAAGUUUUUGAUGAGCGCCUAGUAGCCGAAUAAUAAUAUUAAUUUGUUCAAGUCUUCAAAUGUUCCCCCCACUAUAUUUUUUUUUUUUAACUUGUAAUAAGACUUGGAGACUUUUUUAAACUAAUAUAUAUAACAAGGUUUGGUCCAAAACUGAUCAACAUGGAUCUGGCAAGAUUUAAAGAGGCCCUCCAUUUUUUUGUUAAAAAGAAAAAGAGGCCCUCCAUUCUAAGUCGAUUAGUAGUGAUAUAUUACUUUUAUAUCUUUUUAGUACAAUGUGUCACUUUAAUUCGUAAUAUUAAUAUUUUACAAUAUAUAUAUAUAUAUAUAUAUAUAUAUAUAUAUAAUUUUCAAAAAAAAAAAGAAGAAUAUACGCGCUUCCAAAGAUGUUUUGCUGUAUAUCAGUGCAUUCAUAUCCUGCCGAGGACAGAAGCCAAUGUGCAGGAAGAUGGGGUAACUAUUAUACCGGGGCCCUGCACAUCAGAAAUUGAAUGCAUUAGUUAUUCUUAUUUUUAUUUUUUUUGCCAACAUUUUCUUACGAAAGUAAGAAUGGCAGUUUUUUGGUUGGUUGUCUCCUGAGUCAUUGUCUCAAAUUUACUGUGUGUUUUUGUUUUUCAACCUUUUUCUUUUUUCUCAAAAUUUCACCUACCCCUUUGCGGAAGGGCGUGUAGGAGGAAGUGGGGCUAUCGACCAACCACCUUUUUAUUUCAUAUACAUUACAUCAUAAAAAGUGCUAUAGUAAUUAUUUCAAAUAAAUAUUUCAAAUAAUACCCUAUCCAAACAAUCCGAUCGGAUUUGGAUCCAGUGAUCUGAUUUGGAUCCUAUGCAAAAUAACGAAUAUUCAAUCCCUCAGAUCAUAUGUGGAUCGAAUCACAUCUGGAUCAAGAAGUUAUGCGAGUCGAGUUCGGAUAUCAUUUUUUGUGACCCAUGAAUAUUUGAUCCCAUCCGUAUAGUAUUUUUUUUUAUUUUAAGAAUUGUUGAUACAUUAAAUCCACUAAUUUAUAAUUAUUUUAUCUCUUGUUUCUUAUUUUCACAUCUAUAUCAUCUUUCAAAAUAAACUUUCUUUGCAUAUGAUGUUAAGUUUUCAAACAUAUUGUUGUGUAAUCUGUGGAUAAAGAAAUUGUAGACGAAAUAUUUAAUAUUAUUUGUUUGAAUCAAAAUAAGAAAAAAAGAUAUAAAAGUUACUUUAUAUUGCAACAAAACAAAAUUAAAAAGUUCAGCAAAUUAGGCACAUGAUAUUUUUGAAACUCUAAUGCAUCUAAAUUUCAUUUUACUUUUUGGAUUUAUACUUUUUUUUAAAAAAAUUAAAAAUGGAUACGAGUCGAAUAUCUAAUUGACCCGACUGCAUAUUGCAGCCAGAUAUGUGUGGAUAUUCGCAUUAGCGGAGGAUCCGAAUAUGGUUCACAAAAUGACUGAUCCGCUUUUGCGAAUCGAGUCAACAUUCCAAUGCGUGCGUGAAGGUCCGCUAACCAGGGUAAUCAAGGUAUUGGGAAUAGGGGACCAAAAUUCGGGCAAAAGAGAAUUUAUUGAGAAUCUGCAAAGUCCAAACUGGCUACUGCAACGAGACAUUGGGAAGAAGCAUUGAAAUCUACCAAUCCUGAACGCAUUUUACACUACAGACCUUUUGUCGGAGACAAAUGAGUUUACGGGGAAAAAGGGUUUCUGAUUUGAUGCAUCACGAAGGAGAUUCCUCGCCGAUUAUUUCACGUGAUUAUUUCAUCAUGAAUUUUGAGCCAUAUUUCUUCACAAUGGACUUGAGCAAGAAUGAUCCCUCGAGUCAACUACUCAGUCGACCUCAAGAAAUUGCUACCGGUAAAGUCUUUGACGACGAAAAGUUAUUAUUAUUUUCAAAGCGAAAGACAAAAAAAAUCUAUUUAUUAAAAUAUGAGCAAUAUUUUAAACGAUUUUUUUAAUAUUUGAAUUAUAUAUAUAUAUCUAUAAUUUUCAACAAUAAUGUAUGACUACAUUACAUCAAUAUAUGUGCUUCCUGUAUACCAGUGCAUUUAUAUCCUGCCAAUGUGUAGGACAGAAGCCAAUGUGGAGGAAGAUGAGGAAAAUGCAUCAUACCAGGGGGGCCCGGGGCAUCAGAAAUUGAAUUCAUAGUCAUUCAAUUCAAUCUUCCUCAGUCCCGGGGCUUUUAUGGUUUUUUGUUUUACUACUUUUUGUUUAUUACAAAUUUUCACCUUCACUUUUGCAGAUGGGGAUGUAGGAGGGAGUGGGACUAACCACUAUUAAUAGGGGGUGUGCAGAUGAUCCGAACAAACCUGAAACAGCGGAUAUCCGAUCCGCCAAAUCACAUCCGUAUCAAGAAGUCAUGCAGAUCAAAUUUGGAUCACGAAGGAGAUUCCUCGCCGAUUGUUUCACAUGACAUGAUACUCUGCUCGAGGCCGUAAAUAGGAAUUUAGAGCUAUCUUUCUUCACAUGAAUUUUGGCUGGUUGUAUUUGAUUUGAUUAGUAGUACUUUGCACUCCACUUUACGUGCGUGAUAAUUAUUUACCAAAACAGCCAAGCUCUUGGCUUAGUAAGUAAUCUGGUUUUCAUGGGGUAGGAGUGAAACUUACUUACUUGAGGAACUAUCUAUCUUUUUUUUGUUUUUCUUUUUCAAUAGGGUAGGAGUGAAAGUUAAGAAGCAGCGAAGGGAGAAUAAAGAUUUGAAGUUUGAGCCUCUAAUUUUUAGGAUCUCAAUCUUAACCGCUAGAUCAGAACCUUCUCAGUACUUGAUAAACUAUUUAAUUAUGUGCGAAGAUUAUUUUAUUGUUUAAGAAGCAUAAAUUUUGCGUUAUAGUGUACACAUUCACAAUUUAUAAUUAAUGUAGUUUUCAUUAAGUUAACAUGCACAGAAAUUAGUUGAGAAACUAUUUAAAGAUUAAUUGAAUGUUUAAAAAGCAUAAUUUUUUUGUUGUAGUGUACAUGUUCACAAUUUAAGGCAGAGGAAUUAUAAGCAGAAGGUUCUAUGUUCAAGACCUCCCACUUUUCUCAAAAAAAAAAAAAAAAGUACACAAUAGACGAUUUAUAUUUUGCUCCACUUGCAUUUACACAUACUUACUCUUAAAUACUAGUUAAGUUGACCAUUUAAAAACCCAAAAUUUGGUGGGACACAAAAUUAUACCAAAUUCUUAGACGCACAAGUGUUUUAUUUUAUUUUAUUUUAUCGUUUUGUUAGGAAACAUCCAAACAAGAGGCAAGGAAAUGCUCGGUAGAACCUAACAUUUAUAUAUCCUACCAUGUAUAUAUAUAUACUAACAGUUAUUAACAUUCUUUGUAUAUUUUUUCUAUUUAAUCUUACCUACCAUUAUAUUUAUUUACUUUUCUUAAUUAAUUUUACAUUUUAAAAAAUAUGACACCUAAAAAUAUAUCUUAACGGACACCCUCAUACUUCAAAUUCAGGUGGCACUAAAUAAUACGCCUUUAUACAAGGAUUUAUUGCCCAGUAUUGCAUCUCUAGAGGAAUGAAUACAAAGCCAACAAAUCUGCUGGUGCUUAAUCACAGAUCAUGGAAUGGGUGAGUCCUUUGUAUUAUCAAAAGGUGAUUAGUAAAAUUUAGCCACAUUGCCUCAACUAAUUCUAACUAAAAAUUUGCACAAACAAAAUCUUUGAAAACUUCAAAACCUUUGUCAAAAGUUAACUACUCCUUUCUAUCCGAAAUAUCAGCUGCCCUGAUCGCCCAAGUGAUUUUAGCUUCCACAAAAUGUUGCACCCAUGUAACUGGAAGUAGUAUCCAAUACUGUGACCUACAUGCUACUAGUAUAUGCUACUAGUAAUAGAAACGAGGGUUUGAUUAUUAACUGCCGAGGAAUUCAGCUGAGGACUGUUUUUUUUAACAACAGCUAGGAUUGUGAUGCUUCAGGCCUUCAAGGACAGGGCUCUCUUCCCAUAGCAAACUGUCUCUGUCUCUCUCUGGAUCAUGGAAUUUGAGUCUCCCGAUGCAAGAAAAAACAGUGCUACUGUGGUCUGUGGGGAAGCCUGCAAUUGGUAGGGCGCAGUUUCCUUUAAAUGCCAACACAACUACACACCGGCAUUUGCAUUUUAUUUUGUCUUUCCUUCUGGUCUCAUCAACUAAAAACUUGGAAGCUUUUCCCUUAGUAUUCUCUUUGAGUACUUCUACGUAAAUGUAGAAAGGGUCUCUCCCACGUAACAUCGCAAGUCAUUUUUGGGUACUAUCUUCCGAGCUUUGUUGGAACUAUCUUUCUUUUUCCCCUCCAGGAAGAACUUCAAGAACCACAUCAAACAAAAAAAAAAAAAAAAAUCCAGCAGAGCAUUUGCCUACCAUUUCACAUCAUCCCAAAUGUUUGUCCUUUAUUCUUGACCAUGACGUGCUUCUAAUUGCAGAUAAAGAUAGAUUUCAAGCGCCUUCUCUGCUGUGAAAGCUGCACUAUCGAAAUUCGAAAGAGGUUACUUUGGCAUGGUUUUGGCUCAGAAACUAGGGUUUGGCUCUUCUUCGUUUUGAGAUACUGAGAAAAGCAAGAUAUACGGUGUACAUUUAGCAUGAUGGCAUUGGGAGGAAGUCUCUCACGGGUGAACAGUUACAGCAAGAAGCAGUGCAGAAGCCUUUUCUGCAGAGUAAGGGCAGCAGCGAAGAAGGCCAUCAGGAGCGCUGGUGGUGGUGGAAAAGGUAAACAUCAAUUCAAAUUCCACUAUGAUCCUUCGAGCUAUGCCCUCAACUUUGAUGACGGCUCUCAUGAAUCGGGAGAGAAAACAACAACGGUGUUUUACCAGCAGCCAUCCAACUCCAAACUGCAGAGCUCUUGCAAGACCAAUAAUACUACCUGGAUUUAUAUCAUCUGGGUGGAGUCUUAACUCUUACGCAGUUCUGUGUUUCCACAUUUUCUACUACCAUAUAUGAGUCAAAUUCAUGUUUAUUUCCAAGUUUUUGUUUACCUUUUACAGUACUUUCCUUGUGAUUCUCUUCUGCUACCUGCUGCAAGAGUACGAAAAUAGUGUCCUUUUGGCUAUACUCUUGAUUAAGUUACGAACAUUUCCAAACUUCGAUUCUUUAAUACAUAUGGUCUAUCCAGUGGCCUUUUAGCAAAUAAUCACCCCUGGCCUACUCUCAAAAACAGCCUAAUACAUUAGUAUUGGCAACAAUAAACAUGAGACAGAGAGACCCAGAAAUUUAUUAAUUUUCCGUGCGGUAUAGACAGCAGAUACGCUUUUCGUUGUGAAUAAUAAGUGACUUUACGCGUUUAUUUAAUAUCCACACUGACAAAAAGCGGACAUAUACAGAGAGAGAGAGAGAGCCAUCACUGUUCCCAUCUGUUGUACUACUAGAUAACAAACUAAAUUCAUCAUUAAUGAUACUGUAAAGGAAAGCGGACACAAGGAGUAUCAUUUAUUAUACAUGAGAUUGGCAAAGAAUCCACAUUCGGAACAAAACGGUGCAAUACGUGACUGUUUCCAUUGGCUGUACACCAAGUUUGCUUUCUGUGGAGAGACCUAUUGCCCUAGUAAAGUAGUAUAAAUUAAUGAAAAUGACAUCCAUGAAUGACUGACCAACUACUUUCUUCCAAGAUACACCGUAUUGCAGCUCUUUGCUGUCGUACCCGUUGAAUGAGC